rnacentral:tRNA from 1 species
GUGUGUGGCUCAGUGGUACAGCGCUUGUCUAGGAUAGUUCAGGCCCUGGGUUUGAUCCUCAGCACCACA